AGCGAAGAAGCCCUUUGGGGGUGUAAAGCUCUGUCAGCUGGGGAAGAAAAAAAAAUGACGG
rnacentral:rRNA from 1 species